CACGAACGCUGGCGGCAGGCUUAACACAUGCAAGUCGAGCGCCCCGCAAGGGGAGCGGCAGACGGGUGAGUAACGCGUGGGAAUCUACCCAUCUCUACGGAAUAACGCAUGGAAACGUGUGCUAAUACCGUAUACGUCCUUCGGGAGAAAGAUUUAUCGGAGAUGGAUGAGCCCGCGUUGGAUUAGCUAGUUGGUGGGGUAAAGGCCUACCAAGGCGACGAUCCAUAGCUGGUCUGAGAGGAUGAUCAGCCACACUGGGACUGAGACACGGCCCAGACUCCUACGGGGGGCAGCAGUGGGGAAUAUUGGACAAUGGGCGCAAGCCUGAUCCAGCCAUGCCGCGUGAGUGAUGAAGGCCCUAGGGUUGUAAAGCUCUUUCGCCGGUGAAGAUAAUGACGGUAACCGGAGAAGAAGCCCCGGCUAACCUCGUGCCAGCCGCCGCCGUAAUAC
rnacentral:rRNA from 1 species